rnacentral:rRNA from 1 species
UGGGGAAUAUUGGACAAUGGAGGUAACUCUGAUCCAGCAAUUCUGUGUGCACGACGAAGGUCUUCGGAUUGUAAAGUGCUUUAAGUUGGGAAGAAGAAAAUGACGGUACCAACAGAAUAAGCGACGGCUAAAUACGUGCCAGCAGCCGCGGUAAUACGUAUGUCGCAAGCGUUAUCCGGAAUUAUUGGGCAUAAAGGGCAUCUAGGCGGGGUUUCAAGUCGACGGUGAAAACUAGUGGCUCAACCAUUAGCUUGCCGACGAAACUGAAAUUCUAGAGUAUUGGAAAGGUGGGCGGAACUACAUGAGUAGAGGUGAAAUUCGUAGAUAUAUGUAGGAAUGCCGAUGACGAAGGUAGCUCACUGGACAAAAACUGACGCUGAAGUGCGAAAGCUAGGGGAGC